UUUUUGCGUGAAGGAUGGAAGUGGAAAUCCUUUUUAAAUCGCAGCAAAGCGGAGAUUAAAAAGAUUGCAGCGGACAGCCUGACAGCGG
rnacentral:sRNA from 1 species